rnacentral:rRNA from 1 species
AUGGUGGUCAUUCGGCCGCUGCGUAUCGCUGUCUGCGUCACGCUGGCGUUCGCGGCGUACAAGCUCAACAAGGCGCACACGGCGAGGCUGAUGAGGGAGGGCGAGGAGCGGGAGGAGCGAUGGCUGAUAAGGGACGCCAAGGAGCGGAGGGAGCGCUGGCGCCAGCUUCAUCUUGCAGGCGUCCAUCUUCCAGGCGGCGCCAAGGAUGAUAAUAAGGAGAAGAAGAUGGAUCACGAUUGGGGUGACCCCCUCGCCGGAGACGCCGGUCUUAUGGUCAUUGCGGCGGGAGGCAUCUGCUCGCCCUCAUCCGCAAAGGUCUUGCCUUGCUCUCGCUCGGAGAUGAAGAUUCUAUGGCGGUUUUGUCGUCACCACAUGCUCAUCCUCGAUGGACGAUGGUAUGGUUUUCCGCAAUGA